rnacentral:rRNA from 1 species
GACGAACGCUGGCGGCGUGCCUAAUACAUGCAAGUCGAGCGAAGCGGCGGAUGGGUGAGUAACGCGUGGGUAACCUGCCCUUAAGUCUGGGAUACCAUUUGGAAACAGCUGCUAAUACCGGAUACUACAGGAUGGACCUGCGAUGCAUUAGCUAGUUGGGAAGGUAACGGCUUACCAAGGCGAUGAGGGAUAGCCGGGUUGAGAGACUGAUCGGCCACAUGGUGACGGAGACACGGCCCAAAUUCCAACGGUGGGCAGCAGUAGGGAAUUUGCCACAAGGGACGAAAGUCUGAUGGAGCAACGCCGCGUGGGUGAAGAAGGUUUUCGGAUGGUAAAUCUCGGUUGUUGGUGAAGCGGUAAUCAACCAGAAAGUCACGGCUAACUACGUGCCAGCAGCCGCGGUAAUUC